UACAGAGGGUGCUAGCGUUGUUCGGAAUUAUUGGGCGUAAAGGGCGCGUAGGCGGCCCUGUGUGUCGGGUGUGAAAGCCCACCUCUUAAAGGUGGAAUUGCAUUCGAAACUACAGGGCUGGAGUGUCGGAGAGGAUGGCGGAAUUCCUGGUGUAGAGGUGAAAUUCGUAGAUAUCAGGAGGAACACCGGUGGCGAAGGCAGCUCGCUGGGACGUUACUGACGCUGAGACGCGAAAGCGUGGGGAGCAAACAGG
rnacentral:rRNA from 1 species